rnacentral:ribozyme from 15 species
AAGCGCAAAGAUGCAUACACAUGCACAUACACAAACUGAUACUAAAAAAAACAGAAAAAAAAACAUCAUUCAUACAUGCAAACACACACACAAACACACACGGAAAUCUCGCUGUUCUGUCUUCCUCGCUCUCUCUCUCUCUCUCUCUCUCUCUA